AUUGAACGCUGGCGGCAUGCCUUACACAUGCAAGUCGAACGGUAACAGGUUAAGCUGACGAGUGGCGAACGGGUGAGUAAUAUAUCGGAACGUGCCCAGUCGUGGGGGAUAACGUAGCGAAAGCUACGCUAGUACCGCAUACGAUCUACGGAUGAAAGGGGAGGAUCGCAAGACCUCGCGCGAUUGGAGCGGCCGAUAUCAGAUUAGGUUGUUGGUGAGGUAAAAGCUCACCAAGCCUGCGAUCUGUAGCUGGUCUGAGAGGACGACCAGCCACACUGGAACUGAGACACGGUCCAGACUCCUACGGGAGGCAGCAGUGGGGAAUUUUGGACAAUGGACGCAAGUCUGAUCAGCCAUUCCGCGUGCAGGAUGAAGGCCCUCGGGUUGUAAACUGCUUUUGUACAGAACGAAAAGGUUUCUACUAAUACUAGGAGCUCAUGACGGUACUGUAAGAAUAAGCACCGGCUAACUACGUGCCAGCCGCCGCCGUAA
rnacentral:rRNA from 1 species